rnacentral:rRNA from 1 species
AUUGAACGCUGGCGGCAUGCUUUACACAUGCAAGUCGAACGGUAACAGGUUAAGCUGACGAGUGGCGAACGGGUGAGUAAUGCAUCGGAACGUUCCCGAUCGUGGGGGAUAACACUUCGAAAGAAGUGCUAAUACCGCAUCCGAUCUCAGGACGAAAGCGGGGAACCGUAAGGCCUCGCGCGAUCGUCGCGGCCGAUGUCAGAUUAGGUAGUUGGUGGGGUAAAGGCUCACCAAGCCGACGAUCUGUAGCUGGUCUGAGAGGACGACCAGCCACACUGGGACUGAGACACGGCCCAGACUCCUACGGGAGGCAGCAGUGGGGAAUUUUGGACAAUGGGCGCAAGCCUGAUCCAGCAAUGCCGCGUGCAGGAAGAAGGCCUUCGGGUUGUAAACUGCUUUUGUACGGAGCGAAAAGGCUCUCUCUAAUACAGGGGGCUCAUGACGGUACCGUAAGAAUAAGCACCGGCUAACUACGUGCCAGCCGCCGCGGUAA